rnacentral:rRNA from 1 species
CUGAAUAGGGCGCUUAGUCAGAUGCUGCAGACCCGAAACGAAGUGAUCUAUCCAUGAGCAAGUUGAAGCUAGUGUAAGAACUAGUGGAGGACUGAACCCAUAGGCGUUGAAAAGCCCCGGGAUGACUUGUGGAUAGGGGUGAAAGGCCAAUCAAACUUCGUGAUAGCUGGUUCUCUCCGAAAUAUAUUUAGGUAUAGCGUUGUGUCGUAAUAUAAGGGGGUAGAGCACUGAAUGGGCUAGGGCAUACACCAAUGUACCAAACCCUAUCAAACUCCGAAUACCUUAUAUGUAAUCACAGCAGUCAGGCGGCGAGUGAUAAAAUCCGUCGUCAAGAGGGAAACAACCCAGACUACCAGCUAAGGUCCCUAAAUCUUACUUAAGUGGAAAACGAUGUGAAGUUACUUAAACAACCAGGAGGUUGGCUUAGAAGCAGCCAUCCUUUAAAGAAAGCGUAAUAGCUCACUGGUCUAGUGAUUUUGCGCGGAAAAUAUAACGGGGCUAAAGUAAGUACCGAAGCUGUAGACUUGCGCACAACUUAGAUUAUUUAAGUUUAGAAUAUGAGAAACUAAGUUAUAUGUUUAGUUAUAUUUUUACUGAUUUUUAUAGAGUAAAGAUAGAAAUAAAACUUAGUAAAAUCAGUAAAAAUAUUCUUAGACUAAAGUUAAGUAGUUUAAGUUGUGUGCAAGUGGUAGGAGAGCGUUCUAUUUGCGUCGAAGGUAUACCGGUAAGGAGUGCUGGAGCGAAUAGAAGUGAGCAUGCAGGCAUGAGUAGCGAUAAUUAAUGUGAGAAUCAUUAACGCCGUAAACCCAAGGUUUCCUACGCGAUGCUCGUCAUCGUAGGGUUAGUCGGGUCCUAAGUCGAGUCCGAAAGGGGUAGACGAUGGCAAAUUGGUUAAUAUUCCAAUACCAACAUUAGUGUGCGAUGGAAGGACGCUUAGGGCUAAGGGGGCUAGCGGAUGGAAGUGCUAGUCUAAGGUCGUAGGAGGUUAUACAGGCAAAUCCGUAUAACAAUACUCCGAGAACUGAAAGGCUUUUUGAAGUCUUCGGAUG